ACCUGCACAUGCUCACCAAUCUCCUCCGCAUUUGGAUACAUUGCUGUGAGAAACUCGAGGCCCUUCCUGAUAGUAUGCACAAUCUCACAUCUCUUCAACAAUUGAGAUUACAUGAAUGUCCAGGCAUUGUAUGCUUGCCAAGAGAAGGGUUUCCCACUAAUCUAACAUCACUUGAACUCUCUAAUCUUAAGAUCUAUAAGCCAAUGUUGAAGUGGGGAUUGCACAGGAUUGCCAAUCUUAAACGACUCUCUAUCAUGGGUGGAUGUCUAGACAUGGUGUCCUUUCCACAUGAAUAUAUGCUGCCAACCAGCAUAACAAGGCUGACCAUUGGCGAUUUUCCCAGUUUGGAAUACUUAUCCUUCACCUCAAGUAGUUUUCAUAACUUCUCUUCUCUUGAAUAUUUGCGCGUCUCUCAUUGCCCAAAGCUCCUAUCCUUUCCUGAUGAAGGCCUUCCCAUCUCACUCCUGCAACUAUAUAUCUCUGGAUGUCCUUUGCUAAAACAGCGGUGCAAGAAAUACAAAGGACGAGAAUGGUUUAAGAUAGCUCACAUACCUUACGUUGAGAUAGAUGGGAGAUUUGUCUUUGACCCAGAAAACUGAAGAACAAUGAGCAGCAAAGGUUCCCACUUUGUAAUUGGUGACUUGUGCAACUAAAUUUACACAAGGAGGUGUUGGUUUCAGAAUUUUUCACUGCUUUUGGGUUUUAGCUUCAAAAAAUUUUGAGUAUUACAUAAGAAAUCUAAUAUAACUAAUCUGUAUUGGCCUCGGUUGUUUUGGUAUCUGAUUCUAGAGUUGUUGUAGGAAGCAUCUAAAAGCACGUAUGAAACUUCUAGUUCAAAAUUCGAGCGGCUUCUUCCGCGAAUAAUGUGAUUUAUGUGAUUCUUUAUUCAUUUCGGUUUUGCUUUCUGUUAUUCUACAGGGCAAUUUUUGAUUACCUAACUCGUGAUCUUCCUUGCAAGUUGUCAUCUGAUUAUGUUUUUAUCACAUCUGGUUUCACACAAGCUAUUGAUGUUGCUUUGGCAAUGCUUGUUCUUCCUGGUGCAAAUAUCUCAUCUUCCCUAUUUAUGAACUUGGUGCUACGUUUAGUUUCUUGGAGUUAGACACUUUGAUCGUUGAUCUUGAUGCAAUUGAAGUUCUUGCAUAUCAGAAUACUGUAGCAUUGGUUAUCUUAAACCCAGGAAUCCCUAUGAAAAUGUAUGCUCUUAUCAACAUAUAAAAGAGGUUAGUGGUUCAGGAAUUACAUUCAAGUGCCAUUAGGUUAGAUUGUAUGAUUUGUACGUCCAAGACAAUGAGUCAUUUAGUUGCUUAUUGAAUUUGGACUGCAGAGUAGAAAGCUAAAAAUUCUUGUUAUUGCUGAUGAUGUGGACGCGACUAAUCCAUUU
rnacentral:misc_RNA from 1 species